CCUACGGGUGGCAGCAGUGGGGAAUUUUCCGCAAUGGGCGCAAGCCUGACGGAGCAAGACCGCGUGAGGGAGGAAGGCUCUUGGGUUGUAAACCUCUUUUAUUCGGGAAGAAGAUCUGACGGUACCGAAUGAAUCAGCAUCGGCUAACUCCGUGCCAGCAGCCGCGGUAAUACGGGGGAUGCAAGCGUUAUCCGGAAUUAUUGGGCGUAAAGCGUCCGCAGGUGGUUAUCCAAGUCUGCUGUCAAAGCGCGAGGCUUAACUUCGUACAGGCAGUGGAAACUGGGUGACUAGAGUAUGGUAGGGGUAGCGGGAAUUCCCAGUGUAGCGGUGAAAUGCGUAGAUAUUGGGAAGAACACCGGCGGCGAAAGCGCGCUACUGGGCCAUUACUGACACUCAUGGACGAAAGCCAGGGGAGCGAAAGGGAUUAGAUACCCCAGUAGUC
rnacentral:rRNA from 1 species